rnacentral:sRNA from 1 species
GCCCAGGGAGAGAAGAUUCGAGACCUGGAAGUGUGUCUGGAAGGACACCAGGUGAAACUCAAUGCUGCUGAAGAGAUGCUUCAACAGGAGCUGCUAAGCCGCACAUCUCUUGAGACCCAGAAGCUCGAUCUGAUGACUGAAGUGUCUGAGCUGAAGCUCAAGCUGGUUGGCAUGGAGAAGGAGCAGAGAGAGCAGGAGGAGAAGCAGAGAAAAGCAGAGGUAAGGGUGAGUGUGUACUGUCCUAAGCUCAGACCUGGGAAGGCUGUCAUAAUGUGAAUUUAGGCCAUCUGGUCAACUCCCAGCCUGGAAGCUAUUGGGUG